CUUGGUACUUCGUGUAUUUGGCCAGGGGCUAAGCAAGAAGAGCUGAAAUGUGCGGCAGUGUUAGACAGCCAUGGAAAGCAGCUCCCGGCAGACGCCAGCCAACUUCCUGUCUCUGUGGAUUUUCCUGUUCUGAACAUUUUAUGUAAAUGGAAUCAUACAAUAGGUGACUGUGU